rnacentral:rRNA from 1 species
CACGUAGGAGACGAGCGUUAUCCGGAUUUACUGGGCGUAAAGCGCGGGUAGGUGGGGUCUUAAGUCAUGCGUGAAAGCUCUCGGCUUAACCGGGAGAGGUCGUGUGAAACUGGGAUUCUUAGAGGUAGGUAGAGGCAGAUGGAAUUCCGGGUGGAGUGGUGAAAUGCGUAGAGAUCCGGAGGAACACCAGUGGCGAAGGCGAUCUGCUAGGCCUGACCUGACACUCAGACGCGACAGCAUGGGGAGCGAACGGG